GUCUUUGACGGUUCUAUGGCGGUCUUGUUUGGUAAUUGUGUCGCUAUUUUUGGCGCCUUGUCAUACGCGUGUCGAAUAAAAUACAGCUCAACUAUUACAAACGCGUUUCCGCUUUCACCAUUGAGGGAGAUAUGCUGACGUCUUACUAGCUACUUUAGUAACGCUUAUUGUAUUAUUUCAUCAACUAUAACAAAUAAACGCCGUUGAAUAUCCUCGUUUGGUAGAAAUUCGACGCAUUAACAUUUAAGAAAGAUAAACCAACCAAAUGCCACAAGACAUCACUUAAACAAAAGAAAAUAAUCCACUUUUUGUAUUUACCUCAGUUUGCCGCGUCCCUCUCGAUGACGUCACGUCCAGGAGGUUGAUGUCAUCUUUUUAGCGACUGCAGUUGACCAGCUGACCACACAGCAAAAAAUGUGACGUGCAGGUCCAUGGAAAUUGCAGAGUCACCGCCACAUUUUCUGGAUAACCGCAUUCAGGCCUAAAGAAAACUGUCAAAGAAGCCUGUCCUCAAAUCUUGUGGAUAUUAUGGAUCACAUAUAUGGCCUUGGGUCCAUCCUUUACUAUUGAUGACCUUCAGUGAGGAAAAGCCCUUUACAUUAGGUUUUAAGGAAGUGCAGCUCAUCAAUUGAUCAAUGUCAUUUUCAGAACAAUGGACCAAUUAGAUGAAGCAGAGGGUGGGUCACAUUGCAAAAAAGAAAAUUGAAAACUGAAAAAACAGUCAAAAUAACAGAAAAGAUGCUCUGUAUUUUUUCAGACCUCAAAUACUGCAAAGAAAACAAUUUCAUAUUCACUUUUAGGCAAUACAAAAGUCAUAUUUCUGAUUGUAUUUAGGAAAGGUUCAAUAUUCUUUUUUAAUUUGGACUGGACACAAGUAAACUGAAAUAUGGA